CGUUCACAGGUGACCUGUGAAGAUGGUUCGCUACUCCCUUGACCCAGAAAACCCCACGAAAUCAUGCAAGUCAAGAGGCUCAAACCUUCGUGUUCACUUUAAGGUAAGGAAAAUGUGUUGAUGUUAAAGAAUCCUAAUUUGCUCCUGAGUAUCUUUGAAAGGUAGCUGCAGUGAUGACUUUCUUAGGACACCUUUGGAUUUACCGUGAAAAUAAGUAAAAUCUGAGCAGCCACCUUUUAUAUGAGUAGGGCAUGAGGUGGGGGUGCUUGAGUAAAACCUGCCACUCUAGUGUGGAGCACAGGUAUAACAAUACAAGAAGGUAGAGCUUAACUAAAUUCCUCUCGGAAAAUUUAAUGCUGUUAACCAAACCUUUCUGGCUUCUCUUAGAACACCCGGGAAACUGCCCAGGCCAUCAAGGGUAUGCAUAUCCGCAAAGCCACCAAGUAUCUGAAGGAUGUCACUUUAAAGAAGCAGUGUGUGCCAUUCCGGCGGUAUAAUGGUGGAGUUGGUAGGUGCGCCCAGGUGAGAAAUCUUUGAAGAUGUUGUAAAGAUUGUAAAGGAGUGGGAGAGUAGGGUAAAGUCUUUAUAGUCAGUUGGGUUGCUGUGAUGACUAUCUUAGGACACCUUUGGAUUAACCGUGAAAUAAAACAUGUUCUGAGCAACCUUGGUGUUGGCAUGGUUCUCAAUUGGGUCUCAUUUGAUUCAUCAAGGAAAGUAACAAACUGCUUACCUGCUUUUCUUUCAGGCCAAACAGUGGGGCUGGACACAGGGACGGUGGCCAAAAAAGAGUGCUGAAUUUUUGCUGCACAUGCUUAAAAAUGCAGAGAGUAAUGCUGAACUUAAGGUACCUGGGCCAUUGCUGUCCUUUCGGUCUAUCCUGAGGUCAGUCUGGUUUACUAGUAAGAAACUGUCUUAGAAAAAGGAGCCAAGAUGACUACCUUUAUGUCUUGUGCCUCUAUCUAGUGUCCCAGAAUUCUGCUUAAAGAGGUUUAGGGUCAUGGUGUGCUUAUGUCCUAAUAGUUCCUCCAUCCCCGGUCCUAUAGAAGAAGCAUUUCCUUUGGUCUAGGGGUUUAUAGCUUAUUGAGUGUAAAUCAGGGUGUGGCACCCCAAAAGAAAAAUUUUCAUUUACUUCAUGCUGUUGACCUUGUAAUUGCUAGCAUUAGCAAUGGUGUAGCUGUUGACAGCUGUGUCUAGUGGUAGGAUAAUUAUACUCUAUAAUAUGAGAAGUUUAAAACAAUGAGGUUGAGCCUUUUUUACAAAAGGAAAAUUUCGUACUGUUAGGGAAGUGUGACAGCCCCAAUGGCUACUGACAGCAUGUGUUAAACUACAUUUUAUGGUAGCUGAAUGUCUUAAU
rnacentral:lncRNA from 1 species